CACAAACCAGUCAUGCGAUAUUUAGCAAUUACACAAAAAUUUCAUUUGGAAGAGGUACUGUGAAGAGCAGGUCCUCAUUUGUGGAUUUAGCACUUUGGUGGGACUUUGACAUUGGUUUCUUUGGCUGAGAGACCUCAGGAGGUUGUAUGCACAUAAUGACACAGAUUUUUUGACACCUGGGGAAUUUUUAUGGAAUCUGAACCAAGCAAAGGUGGAAGGAAGUGGGAAGAAUACCACCUGGGAAACUUUAAGGGUUCAGAGACCACAGACUUCCCAUAUGCAUACAAAACCUCAAGUAGCAUUCAUGACUGUUGUAAGCAUUGCCUGAGGGUCAGGAACACAUCAAACCAAGGUUUUAUUCCAGUGGUUUUGAGGUUUG